rnacentral:rRNA from 1 species
GUCCACACCGUAAACGUUGGGCGCUAGGUGUGGGACUCAUUCCACGAGUUCCGUGCCGCAGCUAACGCAUUAAGCGCCCCGCCUGGGGAGUACGGCCGCAAGGCUAAAACUCAAAGGAAUUGACGGGGGGCCCCGCACAAGCGGCGGAGCAUGCGGAUUAAUUCGAUGCAACGCGAAGAACCUUACCUGGGUUUGACAUAUGGAGAAAUCUCCCAGAGAUGGGAGGUCCGUAAGGGCUCUAUACAGGUGGUGCAUGGCUGUCGU